UCAGUUGAAGGCCUGAAUAGAACAAAAAAUCUGAGUAAGCUGGAACUGCCCCUGCCUGACUGCUUUGAGCUGGGACUUUGAUCUUUUCCUGCUUUGGGACAUGAACUAAAACAUCGGCUCUUGGGUUUUUACCCUGCCAGCUUUCGGACUCGAAUGUUCACCAUUGACUUUCCUGGUUCUCAGGACUUUGGACUUAGGCUGGAACUGCAUCAUCAUCAGCUCUGAUGGGUCUCCAGCAUGCUGAAUGCAGAUAUUGGGACUUCGCAGCCUCCAUAAUCAUUUAAUCAUAACAUUAUGUGCCACUGAAGACCAGAAGAUACAUGAUUUACACAAAUUAUCCAAUAUAAAUGGUUGGAUGCGAUGGCUCACACCUGUAAUCCCAGCACUUUGUGGGGCCAAGACAGGAGGAUUAAUUGAGGCCAGGAGUUUGAGACCAGCCUGGGCAAGAAAGCAAGACCCUAUCUCUACAAAAAAAAAAAAAAAAAAA
rnacentral:lncRNA from 1 species